CGGAAACGGAUGAAAAAAUUAUAAAACUAUACAUCAGAGAGUUUCUGUUUCCUGCCAGACGCUGUAUUUAAAUCCAGCUAUUAUUUGGAAAACAAAAACAGAGGCGGGGGAGGAGGUCUGAUCAUCUCAUCAGCUGAUUAUCUUCUUUUAACAAAGAACAGGAUUUAAAAAAAAUAAUCUUUUUUUCAUGUCGUCUGACCCAAAACAAGACGGACAGUUGCCAGGACUCGUUCUCGUCCGUGUUUUUUUUAAUUUCCAAAAGCCACAGUCGUAUUGUGUGACAAAAUGUUCAUCUUCAUAUGCGGCUUUUUAAAUGAAUGCAUACAGUACACGGCAGGAUGUUGGUCGUGGUUACCACGACGACCGGCCUCUGCCCGUCCGCGCCCCCAGACGUGGCAGAGGUGCAACACUCGACGUCGCUUGUACGACUUUGAUCCGUGAGAGCAGGUCUCUCCACCUCAACAGUGUGUGUGUGUGUGUGUGUGUGUGUGUGUGUGUGUGUGUGUGUGUGCGUGUGUGUGUGCGUGUGUGUGUGUGUGUGAGCUUUGAUGGAAGGGCCAAGCGGUUGUCUUGGAUGUGAAUGUCAGUGGCAGCUUGUCUGCUCUCCUCCCUUCACCUUGUCACCACUCAUCGUCUAUCAUCCCUCCCUCGUUCUCUCUCUCUCCAUUUUUCACUCUCAGUCCUUUUAUCUCCUCUCUCUCUCUUUCUCUCUCUCUCUCUCUCCAUCUCUUUGUCUGUCAAAUCCUUUCUCCCUCUACAUAUUUUUCUUUGGUUGUUCCUGAGUGGUGGUCUGCCCUCUAUUUCAUCUCUCUCCACAAGAGCUCCCAGCAUCGUGUCAGAUGAUGUCACGUUAUAUUGUGGACAAGUUUUAACAGGAGACGGACGGACGGAGCCCUCGACAUCGACGCCGCCGGGAGUUCUCGUCGAAAUAAACCUGCUCGGUCUCCAGCAACUUCACAAUCUAUAG
rnacentral:lncRNA from 1 species